UGAGGAAUAUUGGUCAAUGGGGGCAACCCUGAACCAGCCAAGUCGCGUGAAGGAUGAAGGUCUUAUGGAUUGUAAACUUCUUUUAUACAGGAAUAAAUUGGGGGACGUGUCCCCUUUUGCAUGUACUGUAUGAGUAAGGAUCGGCUAACUCCGUGCCAGCAGCCGCGGUAAUACGGAGGAUCCGAGCGUUAUCCGGAUUUAUUGGGUUUAAAGGGUGCGCAGGCGGGAUGUUAAGUCGGCGGUGAAAUUUUGCAGCUCAACUGUAAAAGUGCCUUCGAUACUGGCCUCCUUGAGUGUGGAUGAAGUAGGCGGAAUUUGUGGUGUAGCGGUGAAAUGCUUAGAUAUCACGAGGAACUCCGAUUGCGCAGGCAGCUUACUAAGCCACAACUGACGCUCAUGCACGAAGGCGUGGGGAUCAAACA
rnacentral:rRNA from 1 species